GACGAACGCUGGCGGCGUGCUUAACACAUGCAAGUCGAACGGACAGGCCCUGCUUUUGUGGGGUGCUCGAGUGGCGAACGGGUGAGUAACACGUGAGUAACCUGCCCUUGACUUUGGGAUAACUUCAGGAAACUGGGGCUAUUACCGGAUAGGAGCUCCUGCUGCAUGGUGUGGGUUGGAAAGUUUCGGCGGUUGGGUAUGGACUAGCGGCUUAUCAGCUUGUUGGUGGGGUAGUGGCUUAGCAGGGCUUUGACGGGUAGCCGGCCUGGGAGGUGACCGGGCACAUUGGGACUGCGAUACGGCGCAGAAGCGUACGGGAGGCAGCAGUGGGGAAUAUUGCGGAACGGGCGGAAGCCUGAUGCAGCAACGCCGCGUGCGGGAUGCCGUCCUUCGGGUUGUAAACCGCUUUGGCCGGUGACGAAGCGUGAGUGACGGUAAUGAGUAAAGAAGCACCGGCUAACUACGUG
rnacentral:rRNA from 1 species